CACAAUGAGGCUCCUUCAAAUGAUGUCACCUACUCUGAGGUCACCAGUAGAGAGGCAUCCAAUAAGAUGCCAGUCAUCCAACCAGAAAUGGUUUACUCCACCCUGAGGACAAACACUACAGAAGGUGGAGGAACCACAGACGCCACAGAAGAAAUUAAAAAGUGAAAGAAACGACGAGUUUCUCUGUGUAAACAGGAAGCUGAGGACAGACCUGCAGAUGUGUCGGGCUCACCGUGGGAACAUUUACAGUCAUCAGCUUCCUCCUUUCUUCAUUCACUCCCAUUUAAUCCAAUCAAUGGAGUCAUGAUGGCAGCAAGUGAGGAAGGCGUCCUGUUUCCAGUUCCUCCAGAGAAACCAGGAGGAGGAACUGAAGACAUCAAACUGCUGCUGGUUUGAGUCUCUGCAGCUUGAACUCUGACAAAGGUCGUCUACGAUGGAGCUGCUUCCUUCAUUUCAAUCUGAUCAAUACUCUGAACUCCCGCUGUAAUUUCAGCAGGUGUGAUUUAACACAGAUUUAAUGAACAGACAGAUCUGCAUCGAUCAGGAACUUUCCUGUUUAUAUCAGGAAGAGAGGGGGCACACUUAAUUAUCUCUUUGGGUACAGCCAGUGAUUUUCAGGAGGGGCCCAGCAGUAAUAAAUGCAUCAACUAGUUUUUCAGCAUUUUACUCUGAGAUGGGAAGUUCUGUUUUUGGAGACAGCAGAAUCUGAAUGCUUCGUUAUGUUUGAUUUAUUUAAUAUUCUUAUUGGUAUCUGAAUAUUGUGCUGGAGUGGACAGGGGUUAAGGGAAAAAAAGGCCCACUCCAACAACACAAAGCACACUUAAAUCAUACACAACGCCUGAAAGACAAAACAGACAAAACGCAAACAAAUAUACAUUUUUACAGAGUGUGUUUGUGAGUGUCUGUGUAUGAGUGUUUGUCAUGAAACGUACUUGAAAGGUCAAAUUCUGUAAUGACUGUAAAAAUGUAAUAAUUAUGAUGCAAUUAAAAAGGAGAAACAAAGGCUGCACAGCA